rnacentral:misc_RNA from 1 species
UUUCCGUAGGUGAACCUGCGGAAGGAUCAUUAAAAAAUUGGACUCCAUUGGUGAGUUCAUUAAUAAUCCCUACCCUUUGUGAAUUUGUUUGUUUGAAUAAUUUUUUUCCAAAAAAAUUAUUGAAUGUCUUUCCUUGUUUUGGUGGAGCUUGUAAAGUGAAACCAGGCAGGGGAAUGGCAAACAAUAAUUAUUUUUGAAAAGACCUUUUUUUAAAUUAAACUUUUUGCAUUCAUUUGUCUAAAAUUAAUUUUUAUAAUAUAAAAACAACUUUUGACAAUGGAUCUCUUGGUUCUCGCAACGAUGAAGAACGCGGCAAAAUGCGAUAAGUAGUGUGAAUUGCAGAAUACGUGAAUCAUCGAAUCUUCGAACGCAUAUUGCACUUUUUAGUUUACUAAAAAGUAUGUCUGUUUGAGUAUCAGUAAAUAUUCUCAUAAAAAACAUUGUUUUUUUUAUGGUUAUGAGUGUUUUACAACGAUAACAAGUUGUUUCACUUAAAUUCUUUGUUAUCAAAAAAAUCAUUAAAAGCUAAUUUAAAGACUUUUAAAUUGGAUAAAAUUUUCCCGUAAAAAGGAAUAACCUAAACAAUUUUAAAAAAUUAAAAUUGGUUUGAUUUUUUUUGAAACCCAAAGGAAAAAAAACGAAAUUAACUUGAUCUCAAAUCAGAUAAGAGUACCCGCUGAACUUAAGCAUGUCAAUAAGCGGAGGAAAGAAACUAACUAGGAUUCCCUCAGUAACGGCGAGUGAAGCGGGAGGAGCUCAAAUUUGAAAUCUUCAAGGUUUACCUUGACGAAUUGUAGUUUAAAGAAGUGUUUCUGUUGGAGUUUUGGUAAAAGUUCUUUGGAAAGGACAUCAUAGAGGGUGAGAAUCCCGUAUUUGACCAUUAUCUCCAGCUUUGUGAUACACUUUCAAAGAGUCGGAUUGUUUGGGAAUGCAGUCCAAAUGGGUGGUAAUUUCAUCUAAAGCUAAAUACUGGCGAGAGACCGAUAGCGAACAAGUACCGUGAGGAAAGAUGAAAAGAACUUUGAAAGAGAGUUAAACAGUACGUGAAAUUGUCAAAGGGAAGCGUUUGACACUAGUGUUGUUUCUCGAAAAUCAUUAAAAAGGCCGGAUUCUGUGUUGUAUUGACUUUAUCAGCUUUCUGCACUCUUUUCUUGUCUUUUUUAAUGCACUUUUCGUUAACAAGUCAACAUCAAUUUCUUUGUUGUAAAAGGUCAUUGGAAGGUGGCUUUCUUUUCGGAGAAGUGUUUAUAGCCUUUGGCCUCUGCAAUCGAGAGAUUGAGGUCUGCAGCGUAGAUCCUUCGGGUUAGAUACAUUUGUGCUAAGUUAUAGCCUUUCAUAGACAACUUGUUGACUAUGAUCAGUCAUGUAGCUUACUCGCUUAUGCUAUUUUACCUACGCUUAGGAUGU